CACGGCCGUAGCGUUCUUCCAGAAGAGCAGCUCCACGAAUGCCUUCUUGUUGGUGGCUGCCAGCGCAAAGAACUUACCCAGGAUAAACUUGGCCAAGGCCACCAGCUCCUGGUGGGCGCUGGGGUCGCUGAGGAGGCGGUGGAAGAGGGUGAAAAGGGAGAGCUGGAAGAGCAGAGCCUCCAUGCGCAGCUGCCGGGACAGGCGGUGCAGCAGCCGCGCGGCGCAGUGGUUGGUGCGGGCGCUGUUCUGUGCGUAGCCCCGCAGCAGCAGCACGCAGGCACGGACCACGGGCACGCAGGCAAACCGCUUCAGGUAGUCCAUGAAAUUGAACUCCUUCUCGGA
rnacentral:lncRNA from 1 species